rnacentral:rRNA from 1 species
UAGGGAAUCUUCCGCAAUGGACGCAAGUCUGACGGAGCAACGCCGCGUGAGUGAAGAAGGAUUUCGGUUCGUAAAACUCUGUUGUUAGAGAAGAACAGCGCAUAGAGUAACUGUUAUGCGUGUGACGGUAUCUAACCAGAAAGCCACGGCUAACUACGUGCCAGCAGCCGCGGUAAUACGUAGGUGGCAAGCGUUGUCCGGAUUUAUUGGGCGUAAAGCGAGCGCAGGCGGUCAAUUAAGUCUGAUGUGAAAGCCCCCGGCUCAACCGGGGAGGGUCAUUGGAAACUGGUGGACUUGAGUGCAGAAGAGGAGAGUGGAAUUCCAUGUGUAGCGGAGAAAUGCGUAGAUAUAUGGAGGAACACCAGUGGCGAAGGCGACUCUCUGGUCUGUAUCUGACGCUGAGGCUCGAAAGCGUGGGUAGAAAACAGG